rnacentral:lncRNA from 1 species
CGAAAUGAACGGCUGUGAUCAAAAGGCAAGGGGUUAUAAAUAGAACCUCCACACCAGACCAAAAACCCUAGCCGCCAGCCGCUCGCCGGAGAAGACGAACCAGAGGCCGACCGCCGCCACCCGCCGCCACUUGCCGCCGCACCGGGGAAAUUUCCGACCGCCGAUCGAGGUAAAUUUCAUACCCCCGACUCGUUUUUCCCCACUGAUUCCUCCUAUGGCCAAAUCGAAGCUGAAAUCCCGGCCAAACGGCCGGAAUACGCGGCCGAAGCCC